rnacentral:misc_RNA from 1 species
ACAAAAUACAUGGCAGUAUGUUUUGCCAGAAUUUAAUUAGCAAUGAAUAUUUACUUUGCUAGAGAGGGUUAGAACAAGCUUAAGAGGUUAGGAUGGUAAACCAGUACGAUCUGAGGAAAUACUUGACAUGGCAAUUGAGAAUCAUUUACUGCUCCAACCAUUGUCUAACUGCCAUAUUGCAAACCUAUAGCAGUUAUGUAUUUCUUGUGUUCAA